rnacentral:rRNA from 1 species
UUAGAGUUUGAUCCUGGCUCAGGAUGACUUUUAGCGGCAGGCUUAACACAUGCAAGUCGAGGGGCAGCGAGAUCAGUGCUUGCACUGAUUGUCGGCGACCGGCGCACGGGUGCGUAACGCGUAUGCAACCUACCCAUUACAGGGGGAUAACACUGAGAAAUCGGUACUAAUACCCCAUAACAUCCAGGGAGGCAUCUUCUUGGGUUGAAAACUCCGGUGGUAAUGGAUGGGCAUGCGUUGUAUUAGUUAGUUGGUGGGGUAACGGCUCACCAAGACAACGAUACAUAGGGGGACUGAGAGGUUAACCCCCCACAUUGGUACUGAGACACGGACCAAACUCCUACGGGAGGCAGCAGUGAGGAAUAUUGGUCAAUGGACGCAAGUCUGAACCAGCCAUGCCGCGUGCAGGAAGACGGCUCUAUGAGUUGUAAACUGCUUUUGUACGAGGGUAAACGCAGAUACGCGUAUCUGUCUGAAAGUAUCGUACGAAUAAGGAUCGGCUAACUCCGUGCCAGCAGCCGCGGUAAUACGGAGGAUUCAAGCGUUAUCCGGAUUUAUUGGGUUUAAAGGGUGCGUAGGCGGUCGGAUAAGUUAGAGGUGAAAUCCCGGGGCUCAACUUCGGAAUUGCCUCUGAUACUGUUCGGCUAGAGAGUAGUUGCGGUAGGCGGAAUGUAUGGUGUAGCGGUGAAAUGCUUAGAGAUCAUACAGAACACCGAUUGCGAAGGCAGCUUACCAAGCUACUUCUGACGUUGAGGCACGAAAGCGUGGGGAGCAAACAGGAUUAGAUACCCUGGUAGUCCACGCAGUAAACGAUGAUAACUCGUUGUCGGCGAUACAGUGUCGGUGACUAAGCGAAAGCGAUAAGUUAUCCACCUGGGGAGUACGUUCGCAAGAAUGAAACUCAAAGGAAUUGACGGGGGCCCGCACAAGCGGAGGAACAUGUGGUUUAAUUCGAUGAUACGCGAGGAACCUUACCCGGGCUUGAAAGUUAGUGACGGAUCUUGAAAGAGGUCUUCCCUUCGGGGCACGAAACUAGGUGCUGCAUGGUUGUCGUCAGCUCGUGCCGUGAGGUGUCGGGUUAAGUCCCAUAACGAGCGCAACCCCUACCGUUAGUUGCCAGCAGGUCAAGCUGGGCACUCUGACGGGACUGCCGGUGUAAGCCGAGAGGAAGGUGGGGAUGACGUCAAAUCAGCACGGCCCUUACGUCCGGGGCUACACACGUGUUACAAUGGCAGGUACAGAGGGCAGCUACCCAGCGAUGGGAUGCGAAUCUCGAAAGCCUGUCUCAGUUCGGAUUGGAGGCUGAAACCCGCCUCCAUGAAGUUGGAUUCGCUAGUAAUCACGCAUCAGCCAUGGCGCGGUGAAUACGUUCCCGGGCCUUGCACACACCGCCCGUCA